rnacentral:rRNA from 1 species
UACGUAGGGGGCAAGCGUUGUCCGGAUUUAUUGGGCGUAAAGAGCGUGUAGGCGGCCAUGUAGGUCCGUUGUGAAAACUCGAGGCUCAACCUCGAGACGCCGAUGGAAACCAUGUGGCUAGAGUCCGGAAGAGGAGAGUGGAAUUCCUGGUGUAGCGGUGAAAUGCGCAGAUAUCAGGAAGAAUAUCCGUGGCGAAGGCGGCUCUCUGGGACGGUACUGACGCUGAGACGCGAAAGCGUGGGGAGCGAACAGG